GGGGAGGUGGGGUCGUCACAGAUGGUAUCAGAGCUCUUAUUGAGCUCGUGCCGGGAGAGGGUUCUCGGACUGUGGGGAUUGACUUGUUAAGUAUGGAACAAUUGUCUAUUGUUGGGGAUCUUAGAUAUGUAUGUUGGGUAGCAAUCUCUAAUAGGGUGAUUUGCUCUUGAGCCUGGCCAGCUUGAGUGGUGAAUUAUCAUAUUUUCGGAUUCUUGUCCCCGAAUACCAAAGAGUGACAUCUUUACGAUUAGCUGAGAUCUCGUGUAAUAUUUGGAUAAGUUUGGAUGGUGAAAGCAAAGGCACAGGGAAUGCGAGUAGUCUGGACUUGAAAAAUAUUGAAGAUAUUCAUGGGAUUUGGGAUCUUUCUUAUUCAUGUGUUUCGAGCCUUGAUUAAGUAUAUUGCCUGAGCGAUACCUAGGGUUAAUGCUCGAUAAGUUAUGUGACUUG
rnacentral:lncRNA from 1 species